GCCAAAGUUUCUCCUCUUGGCCUUCUGACUUCCCACUGCACAUGUGCUAUAGGUAAACAAUCCACUGGCUUCCACUCCAUCUGAUUGGCACUCAAGGAGGAAAAGCACGGUCUGAGGACAGGGAGCACAUCUAAUCCACUCUUGCAUAUCCUCAGGAGGUUGCUGAGAUGCACUAGAUAAGGCCCUUCAUCUGUUGGCCCACAAAGGAGGAUCGAUAAGAGUUCAAGAAAGCCGAAAGCCAAGAGCAUUCCCCAUGCUGGACUGAGGAAAGGUUGAAGCAGACCAGGCACAAACCCUUCAGCUCCUUGUCAGCAGCCUUUGAUCUCUGUGGCAGCUAACAUGAAAGUAGAAUUUGGCCCUCCAACUGUACAGGAUGAGACUUGACAAGAAAAUCAGUUUCUCUGACAAUUUCAAAAGGCCCGACACUUUCGUCACUUGGCACUUGGCCAUGGGGAAUGGUGCUGUGGACACAUCUGUACCCCCCCCCAGAGAAACCAUUUUCCCAGGAAGGACUGACAGUUCAAGUGCAGGCAAGUCCAUGAGGAAUGAAGGACAAGCUCUUCCCUGCCCUUCAUUGAGGACAGGUGUUGCAGGAAGCAGGAGGAUUUUCACUGGGUAGCUAAGGGAACUUCCUACCUGCCUGGGUUGAAAGGCACCAGGAGGGCUGUCCAGGGAAUCUGGAGAAACUCUUUUCUCAAGAUUAAAGAAUAAGCAUGUCUGCUGCUGGUUUGGAAAAGUUUAAGCCAAAGAUGCUGUAGCAAACUGGCCUUUGUAGGAUCUUUCCACAUUUGCAAGCCUAAGUGUGACUCGGAUGUGCUUUUUUCAGCUUACCUCUCUUGUUCUUCAAUAAGCAAACCAAAAUAAAUUAGAUUUGCCCUUUUAUUACAGUUUCAACUUAUCAUUUGGCUUCUGAGCUACUCAAAGUUUAGAUGCUUCUG
rnacentral:lncRNA from 10 species